rnacentral:misc_RNA from 1 species
AUCCGUGUCUAUUGUACCCUGUUGCUUCGGCGUGGCCGGCUUUCCCCCCCGGGGGGAGCCACCAGUGCCCGCCGGAGACUCCAACAUCUGAACACUGUCUGAAGAUUGCAGUCUGAGUUUAUAGUUAAACAAUCGUUAAAACUUUCAACAACGGAUCUCUUGGUUCCGGCAUCGAUGAAGAACGCAGCGAAAUGCGAUAACUAAUGUGAAUUGCAGAAUUCAGUGAAUCAUCGAGUCUUUGAACGCACAUUGCGCCCCCUGGUAUUCCGGGGGGCAUGCCUGUCCGAGCGUCAUUGCUGCCCUCAAGCACGGCUUGUGUGUUGGGCCACCGUCCCGGGAACUUCUGGUCCCUGGGACGGGCCCGAAAGGCAGCGGCGGCACCGUGUCUGGUCCUCGAGCGUAUGGGGCUUUGUCACCCGCUCCCGUAGGUCCAGCCGGCGGCCAGCCUCGCAACCAACCAUUCUUUAACCAGGUUGACCUCGGAUCAGGUAGGGAUACCCGCUGAACUUAAGCAUAUCAAUAAGCGGAGGAAAAGAAACCAACCGGGAUUGCCUCAGUAACGGCGAGUGAAGCGGCAAGAGCUCAAAUUUGAAAUCUGGCCCCUCCGGGGUCCGAGUUGUAAUUUGUAGAGGAUGCUUCGGGUGCGGCCCCCGUCUAAGUGCUCUGGAAAGGGCCAUCGGAGAGGGUGAGAAUCCCGUCUGGGACGGGGUGUCCGCGUCCAUGUGAAGCUCCUUCGACGAGUCGAGUUGUUUGGGAAUGCAGCUCUAAAUGGGUGGUAAAUUUCAUCUAAAGCUAAAUAC